rnacentral:rRNA from 1 species
UACGUAGGGGGCGAGCGUUGUCCGGAUUCAUUGGGCGUAAAGAGCUCGUAGGCGGUUCGGUAAGUCGGGUGUGAAAUCUCCGUGCUCAACACGGAGCGGCCACCUGAUACUGCCGUGACUCGAGUCCGGUAGGGGAGUGUGGAAUUCCCGGUGUAGCGGUGAAAUGCGCAGAUAUCGGGAGGAACACCAGUGGCGAAAGCGGCUACCUGGCCCAUUCUUGACGCUGAGGCGCGAAAGCUAGGGGAGCAAACGGG